AUGAAUAGGUAAAAAAAAAAUUUUAAAAACAUUUAUUAAAGGUUUAAUACACCUUUAAAACUUAAUUACGUUCAUAACUUAAUUGCAAAAUAUCUAUAUUUAAUGUACCGGUAUAUAAAAAAACCCAAUAAAGGUCAAGAUUAAUUAUCUUAUACAUAUUUUAUUUUAAAACACACCCAAGGUUGACAGUUGGUCCAAUCAAAUUUAAACAUCUUUCCGCCAAAAAGGAAUCCUAGCCAAACAUGGCUGCUUUAUUAGAGCUGUGAUAAACUAUUGAGUUUUAUAAGUUGCUAGAAGGCGUAAAAGUUGAAAAUUAGGUAUGUUACGAUUAAUUAACAUUUUGUGUCCAUUUAGAAAUAAUUAUGAUAUAAAAGAAUUAAUUGUUUCGGUAAUUGUAGAUUAUUUUCUACUGGUAGCCGAACUUCUAUUGUCAUUUCAUUAUUGAACCCUCCUUGCAAAGUAAAUUGAGUAUUUUAAAUAUGUUUUAUUACCUCUUAAAUGAUUUAUUUUAGUUUUGAAACUUUAGUGUUUUUAUUUUAUAAUUGUAUUGCAUUUUAAUCAUUUAGUUUUUGGUUAAUUGCUAUGUCUGGAUUUAGAAAGAGCUAUUUCAAUCUAUGUCUGGAAUUGGAAGGGGCCAUUACAAUAUUUAUAGUAUUGUAUAAUGGACUUUCCCAGUAUCUAUUAUCUUUAAAUGUAUAGGGUUACCAAUUUCAUGAAGCUUUGCAGGGAGUGUUAAUAGUAAUGUAACGUAUACAAAACUUGUGAUAUAUUACAAAUGACAAGUGAUAUAUGCACUCGUGCUGUAUGAACUAUUUAUAUAGUCUUUAGUGAAUGAAAACAUUUUUGGCUACCAUUCCUGGUUUUGAAUGUCAAAUAUGAUAUGAAAACGAAUAUCGGUUGAUGUCUAAUUCCCUAAUGGCCCAAUUUAAUUUAAAGGGAGGCGGUCCAUAAUGGACUUAGAAAUUUACAAAGUUGUCCAAGAUAGUGUAAUGAUCAGUCAGCCGAGCUGCAAGGAAGCCGAGAUAAUAACAGCAGUUUCGGCUCAUCUAAAAUAUGCACCCGACAGAAGAGGGACCAAUUAAGUACAUGUACAGUUUUAAUUUGUUUAUUACAUGUCAUAUUUUAUUAUAAUCUUUAUAAGCCAUUUUGAGCAGUGUUUUAUAUUGGUAACAGGCGCUUUAUAAAUAAAUAAAUUUUUAUUAUUAUUACGGUACCAAUUGCAUUACAAUUACUUUCUCAUUUUUAGCAAUAUCAUUCAUUACCAUUACCCAUUACAUUGAAAGUAAAUAAUUACAUUUUAUUACUAUUUAAAGAUU